rnacentral:rRNA from 1 species
UGCGUAGGCGGCUUAGUAAGUCAAGAUUUAAAGGCAGCAGCUCAACUGCUGUUCGGUCUUGAAACUAUUGAGCUUGAGUAUAGGAGAGGAAAGUGGAAUUCCCAGUGUAGCGGUGAAAUGCGUAGAUAUUGGGAGGAAUACCGGUGGCGAAGGCGACUUUCUGGACUAUAACUGACGCUGAGGCACGAAAGCGUGGGUAGCAAACAGGA